rnacentral:lncRNA from 1 species
GGUUGGCAACCAGAUCAGGAAAAUGAAAACUUACCAACAUGACCAAUGAAUACAACAUUCAGAUGUCUCUUUUGUCUCGAUUUCAAUCUCAUCAUCAACAUGUGUUGGCUUUAAGUUUGCAUUUGCUUCCUCUUUCAGGCCUGAGAUCAUUCAUGAAAUAAACAUUUGCUACAUACUUAUUAACUUUUGCUUAAAGAUUAAUCUAAUACUGUUUCAGAACCAGCAUAACAUCUUUCUCCUUAACAGGCUAAACAGACCAAUAUUUUCUGGUUAUAAAUUGCGAAAACUGAAAACCAAAAAUGUAAGUUUUAUAACAUCUUGAGAGUCAAGACGAAACAUUCAAAAUAAUUGUCAGGGAAGGGUGACCUAGAAAAAUGUCAAUAAUUCUUAGAAUUCUUUUAUUGGUUUUACUUCCCCAAAAUAAGAGACAAGUUCCCAAUUGAAAACAGCUCCUUCAACAUUCUAUAUUUCACCAGAGUUCUAAAAAGCAAAGAGUUCUCCAAAAACAAAUCUUCACAAUUAAGCUGAAUCAGAAAGGAAUUGUGUUAUCAGCAAAAGAAGAUAUAUUGCGCAUGAGAAUAGUAAAUGACAAUAAACAUAUUAAGCCAAGCCAUGAAAAUAGUAUAGCUUCAUCCGAAGAGAAAUAGAGUGAAGGAAGCAAAACCACCUUCUUUUCGAAAAACAAACAAUCACCAAAGUUCAAAGACAAACAAAAGAUGCUGUUUUUGAGAUACUUCUCUCAACGCUAUAUUGACAUCUUUUCCUAACAUAAAGCAACCAUUUUAGCACAGAUCACCUGACUUCAUGUUAACUCUAGGAUGUACCGUGACUUAUCCCAUACCAUUACCUUAAAAUGCCCUCCUCAUCAACCCCGGAGAGAAAGAGGGAUAUCAGGAUCUCUCACUUUUUUUGAGAAGGUAAAGUAAUUUAAUAGAUAAACUAGCACAAAGGAUGUUCUAUACAACUGUACAAUAUCUUCAGAAGCAAAAAAGCAAAAUUAUGCCCCUUCUAACCUUGUAGGGCUUCUAACAUCUUCAGGAUCCCUCACUUUUCUCAAAGGCAGUGUUCGAAGUGAUAUUUAUGCACAAGAAAUAGGCAGUCCAAAAUGGACGUGAAAACUCACAGCUCAAGACAAAGCAACACGAGGCUAGAUAAUUUGAUGCCAAGAGGCUCAAUAAUUUGACACCAUGAUUCAUUUCUUAUCUGUGAGGUAACUGUUGCCUAGUAAGUGCCAGCCUCUAUUCAAGCACAAAAGGCUGAUUCAAAUUUAGAAGUAAAGGCCGAUGCUUUCUCUGUUCAACUCUCUAAAUCAUAGCAAGAAAGUUAGAUGAAUAGAUCAAACAGUGCAGCCAUCCUCCAAAAUAAUAGUGAUAGCAUUCACAAACAUCAUAUCCACUGCUGAAAAUAGAACUAGUGAAAUUGUAGGCUAGUAACAGAAGUAAAAUCCUCUUGGGACAGGAUCCACUACUGUCUCAGGAUCUCAGCAGUAUCUGCCUAUCUGAACCACUAAACACCCGCUUUACUUAGAACAAAAUUCUUCACCUCACAACAUCAACCCCAUUUAAGUGAGCUUCGAACAGGAAGCUCAAUGCCACUUAUUGCAACACUAAACCUCAAAGGUAAGUUCUAUAAAGCGGUGGUUAGAUCGGCCAUGAUGUAUGGGGUUGAGUGUUGGCCCGUUAAGAACUCACAUAUCCAGAAGAUGAAAGUAGCAGAAAUGAGUAUGUUGGGGUGGAUGUGCAGGCACAAUA